GGGGGCGAACUGGGUUCGACCGGACAGCUUGAAGCGCAAGUGGCGUGCCGUGGUUGGUCAGUUGGCCACGUAAAAAGCUGACCAAAUAUCUUCAAUUGCCGAAGAUAGCUACGCUUUGGCUGCCUAACUAAGGCAACCCCGGCUGCGGUCCUUCGU
rnacentral:tmRNA from 1 species